AUGGCCGGGUCCGGUUCCAAGGGCAAGUGGGAGGCCUCCUCUAUCACCGAAAAGGACGUCAAGGACCUCCGGAGCGCGGGCUAUCUAUCUGCGGAUAUCGCGCAUAGGAUCCCUGACAAGGAUCAGGUUAUCCCUACUUUGGAGCCUGGUGAGAGGGUCAUGUUCAUCCCCCAUUUCUUCCGGGGGCUAGGAUUUCCCCUCCACCCCUUCAUCUGGGGUCUUAUGUUUUACUACGGGCUAGAUUUCCACGGUCUAGCUCCAAAUUCCUUCCUCCAUAUAUCGGCUUUCAUAGUCGUGUGUGAGGCUCUCCUUCGCAUCCCCCCACACUUCGGCCUAUGGCUCAAGGUCUUCAAUCUAAAGCCGAAGGUGGUCGACGGACAGCAUGCAGACUGUGGUGGGGCUAUGGUAAGCAAGAUCCCCAACGCCGUCUGGCCCAAAGGGGAUGUGGCAGCAGGAGUGGUUCUACAUCACUGA
rnacentral:rRNA from 1 species